rnacentral:rRNA from 1 species
AUUGAACGCUGGCGGCAGGCCUAACACAUGCAAGUCGAGCGGAUGAAGGGAGCUUGCUCCUGGAUUCAGCGGCGGACGGGUGAGUAAUGCCUAGGAAUCUGCCUGGUAGUGGGGUAUAACGUCCGCAAACGGGCGCUAAUACCGCAUACGUCCUGAGGGAGAAAGUGGGGGAUCUUCGGACCUCACGCUAUCAGAUGAGCCUAGGUCGGAUUAGCUAGUUGGUGGGGUGAAGGCCUACCAAGGCGACGAUCGGUAACUGGUCUGAGAGGAUGAUCAGUCACACUGGAACUGAGACACGGACCAGACGCCUACGGGACGCAGCAGUGGGGAAUAUUGGACAGUGGGCGAAAGCCUGAUCCAGCCAGGCCGCGUGUGUGAAGAAGGUCUUCGGAUUGUAAAGAACUUUAAGUGGGGAGGAAGGGCAGUAAGUUAAUACCUUGCUGUUUUGACGGUACCAACAGAAUAAGCACCGGCUAACUUCGUG